UAGGAGCUUACAUCAAGGGACUCACUAGGGAAAACAAGGAGAUAAGGAACUAGCCCGAUAAACAUCCUCAUGAAAACAUUUGUUAAAUAAUCCAGGCCUAAUCGCUCAAGUAAUAGACUGCUUUUUCCUCUCUUUUGUUGACUGAGAGGACAAAAUGAUAAAUGGCAGCAAAGAGGCCAUAUGCAAAGUUGGGGCAAGAACAAGGCAAUGAGUGAAGUUGGAGGUAUCAAAGCAGCAAUGAGAUAACUGGAAUAAUAGAAAAGAAGCUGCUUAACAUUAGCCUGGUUGUCUGAUUCUUUCAUUCUCACUCCAGUGUCUUCCUUUACCAGCAGUCAAAGUUCACACUGUCGCCAAUCAGAAGUCUCCUCUGAUCCAAGACCUUCUCAUCUGAUCUGUGGGAAAGUGCAACGUGGCAGAAGCACUCUGGACAUUGUAGGAAAGGAGGGUCAGCCAUAUCCAGUGGUGGCAUCAACGUGUUCUACUGUGGCUCAACUGGGAGCUGGAAAGGAUCAAGAAGUCAGAGAAACGGUGAUGCCUAGCGUUUGUUGCUUCUGGUUUGAGACAGAAAGAACCAGGGAAAGGGAAGAAGAAACAUCCAGUCCUGAUGAUGGGAAUUAGGAAAUGCAGCCACCUACAAGAUGGGGUUUCUUAUUCUCUGUGCUUUCUGAAACAAAGACAACGUGUUUAAUCUUAGAUGGCUUCUUGUUCUGGAUUAAAAGGCUUGUAGAGAGGAGGGGGCAGCAAAGCAGUGGC
rnacentral:lncRNA from 1 species